UUUGUUCGUUCGGCUCGCGUGA
rnacentral:miRNA from 21 species